rnacentral:rRNA from 1 species
AGCGAACGCUGGCGGCAGGCCUAACACAUGCAAGUCGAACGAACCUUUCGGGGUUAGUGGCGGACGGGUGAGUAACACGUGGGAACGUGCCUUUAGGUUCGGAAUAACUCAGGGAAACUUGUGCUAAUACCGAAUGUGCCCUUCGGGGGAAAGCUUUAUCGCCUUUAGAGCGGCCCGCGUCUGUUUAGCUAGUUGGUUGAGGUAAUGGCUCACCAAGGCGACGAUCAGUAGGUGGUCUGAGAGGAUGAUCAGCCACAUUGGGACUGAGACACGGCCCAAACUCCUACGGGAGGCAGCAGUGGGGAAUCUUGCGCAAUGGGCGAAAGCCUGACGCAGCCAUGCCGCGUGAAUGAUGAAGGUCUUAGGAUUGUAAAAUUCUUUCACCGGGGACGAUAAUGACGGUACCCGGAGAAGAAGCCCCGGCUAACUUCGUG